AUUGAACGCUGGCGGCAGGCCUAACACAUGCAAGUCGAACGAGUGGCGGACGGGUGAGUAAUGUCUGGGAAACUGCCUGAUGGAGGGGGAUAAAUACUGGAAACGGUAGCUAAUACCGCAUACCAUCGGAUUUGCCCAGAUGGGAUUAGCUGGUAGGUGGGGGAAAGGCUCACCUAGGCGAAGAUCCCUAGCUGGUGUGAGAGGAUGACCGGCCACACUGGAACGGAAACACGGUCCAGACUCCUACGGGAGGCAGCAGUGGGGAAUAGUGCACAAUGGUCGAAAGCCUGAGGCAGCAAUGCCGCGUGUAUGAAUAAGGCCUUCGGGUUGUAAAGUACUUUCAGCGGGGAGGCGUUACCCGCAGAAGAAGCACCGGCUAACUCCGUGCCAGCAGCCGCGGUAAUAC
rnacentral:rRNA from 1 species